UUAGAAUCUGAAACAAGAACUCCCAAAACAUUAUUAGAAUCUGAAAAAAAAAAAAAGCUGCAAGAACUCAACAGACCAACACCAAUUGAGAUCAUAUCACAUGCUUAACAAAUUAAAGCUGCAAAAGAAGUGUUAUAAAGAAGUGUUAUAGCUGCAAAUUAAACCCUUUUUCUAUAUUGAUCACAAGUAACCGAUUAAAACCAGAGAUAAGUAUAGUACAAAGCCAAGGAAAUCAAAGUAGAGAAGCAGUCACAAAGUGAAAGAGACCCUAGACCUUAGAGAAGCUAAAAACAAGAAAAUGGUUUUAAACAAGAACCAUUAGCAAAUGCGUAAACUCUGCAACAACAACCACAACUACAUUAUCAAUUAAAGCUGCAAAAAGACAUAAGAAAAUGAGGUGUAAACUGCAUUUGUUCUGCUACACUACUUCUCUAAUCUCCAACAGAGAUUAAAAAAAAAAAGUGAAUUAUUAACACCCUAAUCUAGUCAAGAACACUCUAAUCGAAUCAGUAAAACCUUUAGUAGCAAAAUCAGUGAGCGUAAGNNN
rnacentral:lncRNA from 1 species